GACGAACGCUGGCGGCGUGCUUAACACAUGCAAGUCGAACGGAAAGGCCCUGCUUUCCGGGUACUCUAGUGGCGAACGGGUGAGUAACACGUGGGUGAUCUGCCCUGCACUUCGGGAUAAGCCUGGGAAACUGGGUCUAAUACCGGGGAGGGGCCCUUGUUAUGGUGGUUGUUGGGGAAAGUUUUCGGUGUAGGGUGGGCUCUCGGCCUAUCAGCUUGUGGGUGGGGUAAUGUCCUACCAAGGCGGCGAGGGGUAGCCGGCUUGGGAGGGUGGACGGCCACAUUGGGACGGAGAUACGGCCCAGAUUCCUACGGGGGGCAGAGGUGGGGAAUAUUGCACAAUGGGCGAAAGCCUGAUGCAGCGACGCGGCGUGGGGGAGGACGGCCUUCGGGUUGUAAACUCUUUCCGCUAGGGACGAAGCUUUUUGUGACGGUACCUAGAGAAGAAGCACCGGCUAACUACGUG
rnacentral:rRNA from 1 species